rnacentral:rRNA from 1 species
UACGAGGGGAGCAAGCGUUGUUCGGAUUUACUGGGCGUAAAGGGCGCGUAGGCGGUCGUGACAAGUCACUUGUGAAAUCUCCGGGCUUAACUCGGAACGGUCAAGUGAUACUGUCGGACUAGAGUACAGAAGGGGCAACUGGAAUUCUCGGUGUAGCGGUGAAAUGCGUAGAGAUCAGGAAGAACACCGGUGGCGAAGGCGGCCUGCUGGGCAGUUUGGCUGACACUGAGGCGCGACAGCGUGGGGAGCAAACAGG